AUAUUAAGUGUUUUUGUUUCUCUUGCAAAAUUUUAUUCUGUAUUGAUACAUCUGCUAAUUUGGUAACUUUGGAAAGGUUUUGUAAAUUUGGUUUCAUUCUUUAACAUUAUAUACUUAAUUACAAUGAGUUCCACUUCCCUUUUUAAGAACUUGAGCAAGCUUUGGUGUAGAUUUAUUGAGACAUAAGACCUAGAGUAGACUGGUUAAAUCCAUCUAACCAAAUUGGAUUUGUGAUUAGAUAAUUAAAGGUUUUGUGGAAUCUGCUAAUACGGCUUCAGGUAAUCAUCUCCCACCUCCUGAUUUGAUAAAUCAGGUUGAGUCCACAUAGGGAUGGUUUGGGUUCUGUGGUGCAAUCCCGAAGGGACUCUUCAACCAACCAAAUAAUUGCAGAUGUAUCAGCAACAAAAAUGACUGGAGCACCCACAACGUUUGUUCGAGAUUUAUUCAGAUGGAGUUUUGUGAUUUAUUGGGAUGGAGGUAGAAUCUUUCCAUAGUUGAGUGAAAGAGAAGGAAAUGAAGAAUACAUUGAACUUUACAAACUUUGAGGGAAAAGGGAAAUGCAAAACUACUACUUUUAGAUCAUUUUACCAAUUCCAAAUUGAAACUAUGUCAAGUAAAAUCAGUUAACCUUUGUUUUAAAUCAGGGAGUACACAUCAUCAUUUGAAGUUAGUAUAUGUCUUUUUCAGAUUCAAAGGAAUAAAGAGCAGAGGCAAUAUGUGUGGUUUUGCAGUUUUGAGUUAAGUUAUGUAUCAAAUGUAAGCUUUUGAGUGGAAAAAAGAUCUAAAAUUAUGUAUCAGAAGCACUUGGAUUCCUGCUGAUAGAAAAUUAGUGGAAAAAAGAUCUAAAAUGCAUCCACUCCAAAGAGUUCUAAAAUGUCAUGCAUCAAGAUUGAAGAUUCAAAGUAAGAGUUCUAAAAUGUCUUUAGUGAAAUCAUUUUGGCUAUCUAAUGUUUUGUUCACCCUUUCGUAGUUGAAAUUUUCCAUUUAUGAUUUGUCAUAUUUUGUGUGAAUAAUGUAAGGGCUGAGUUAACUAUUUUGGAUACAAAUUUGUAUUUGUAACUUUUGCUGGAUUGGCUUUAAUCAAGGGGGUGUAUUGGAUUGAGAUUUUAAAA